rnacentral:misc_RNA from 1 species
CCGCUCCAGCCUCACACGCCGCCCACACCUCUUCGCUCACAGCCCACGGACGUCCGCAAACACAGCGGGAGAGACUCUCACACGCGUGUGCGCCUUCGCUGUGCGGUGUGGGGGCGUCAUGGCGCACUUGAUCGCACCCGCCUCCUCCGUCCAACCAAUGACGGAGGAGGACUUCGCGGUGGUACAGGCAGAGAAGAGGGUCGACGCCGCCACGCGCGAGCAGCUCGUCAACGUGUACGGCGACUCCCGCGCUCCGCACGGUCGCCGCGUCGCCCUCACGAGGCCGCCGAAGCGCGAGUGGAGGUGCGCUGCGUGUGGCAAGCAAAGCGCCGACAUACGCCACGUGUGCGCCUUCUGCCUCUCCCCAGAGCCGGGGUACAGCAGUAACAUCGCCGCCUCCCGUCCUCGUAAUGCCGGCGGUCCCGCGGUCGCCGACAAGGUGGUAGGGCCACUCACGUGCGUGCAGCGUCCUGGCACCUGCGAGGAUGCUGAUGUUCGCCUGCUGCAAGUCUCCCUCACGAAUCGCACCUACCGUGUCUUCACGGAGCCGCACACAUCCGCCGCGAAGCCCCGUGCGGCGGCGUCGCAUCGUAGCGCAGCUGGUGCGGACUCGGCGACGGCGAGGCCGGCCGUGGAGGAGGUCGACGAGGUCAUGGUCUGGGACGACGAGCCCAACUGCGGUGAUCGCGGGACUGGCGAAUCCUGCAGUGCAGGUGAUGAUGAAGGUGGCAGUGAGUGCGACGACGAGGGUGUGCCGAGCCCGGCGCCCCAUACGCAGCGCCGUCCACCGCGUGCGGAGAAGGUCAAUGGGGGCUUCACGCACUUUGUGUCCAUCCCCUUCGGGAAACUGCCCGCCGUGGCGGCGAACGCGACGAGCAUCUUGGCGGACUUGCGCAGCUUUGUCGCCGCCAAGUACGCCGAGUCGGCCCAGCAGGGGAGCGCCGCUGCGGCGGGUGAGGCGGCCGGGCCUGGCGGGACGGCGGCGUCGUCCUUUUCGAAGUCUGCGGUCGCCUCGGAGCUGGUGACCGGCACCGCCAAACUGCACAUGACGCUGCUUCUGCUCACGCUUCCACGCCGUGAGGAUGUCGAGUUCGCCAAGGAGCUUCUGCAUGGUCCCUUUGCCUCUGCCUGGGCAGCGACGAAAGAAAAGUGGGCAGCGUCCAAGGACACAACGUACGCGCUGAGCGGAGAUGCGUCCCUUGCCCCGGUGCACCGUCACCCGCUCGUGCGGCUCGGCGGUGGGCUGCAGGUGAUGAGAACAGGUCGGCAGAACGAGUUUUACCACCCAGAAAAGGCGAGCGUUGUCUACAUGGGCAUCGAUAACGCAGCCGGGCUCGCCACGGUGCAGCAGCUGCAGCGCGUCCUGCACGAGAGCUUGGCUGAGCUCAUCCACGAUCCCGAAGAGGCGGAGAAGUCGCGCCGGGUGUUGCACGUGACAAUCAUGGACAAGAAGUGGCGCAAAGGGCGUGCGGCAAGUCGGCCAUUCGAUGCGCGGCCCAUCAUGGAAGCCUUUCAGGAGGCAGCCAUCGGCGCGGGUGAGGAUGGCAGGCAGUUGUUCGAGAUACCGGAGCUGGAGCUGUGUUCACUGCGCCGGCAGGACCCGGAGAGCGGCACCUACCUCGCCGAGACCACCGUGAAGAUCUAGAGCCCGGUAAGAAGACGCGGGGGUGGUGCAGCGCACGUCUUGCAGAAGUCGAUGUCCGCACUCUCUGUGGGACACCAUAAGGGGGGUGGGGCCGGAAGUGGAGGUUGAAGGCGGCUUAUCGCCAGUGAGGGGAGCUCUCUAUGGAUGCUGAGCACACGUGCACACAAUGGGCUGCACCUUCCUCCCCCUCGCCCACCAUCUUCCUCCUGUGAGGGGGAAGAGGUGCACACAGACGGCGAGAGGGAUCUGUACAUCCGCGUAGGCGCAAGACGCACGCGCAGGAUCGGCUCAUGUGUUUCCUUUCUUCUCCCCGCAACCCCCUUCCUGCCCCCUGCCUGCCCGUCCUUUCUCGUUCACCACGACGACAAC